rnacentral:lncRNA from 1 species
GCUGACCCAGCCUCAUCCUGUGGUUUAUUUAUACCUCCUGCAACGGUAGUACUAAGUGGACCUGAAACACCCGGGAUUGGCGGUGGAGCAUAACAACCACCAAAAGGAGGUUUCUGACCCACCGCAACAGCAUCUUCAUGACAUCUUUGCAAAUAACAAUGUAUUGCUUUCUCCCACGUGCUCAUUUUCUUCGGCUUAUCAUGAUGGCAAACUAUGGUUUUUCCCUUGCCACGAGAGGAACGAUGAUCGCCCCCACCAUCGCCACUACCUCCUGUCUAUCUCUAUGUACCAUAAUUUAUUUAGCUCAUAUUUGCAAAUGACUAAACUAUGCACAAACUCUAUAUUUUCCCCCACAAUUUACUUAGCUCAAACAUAACAUAUAAAUAAAAAAUUUCUCCAUUAUAGCUUAUUCUAAAAAUGACUAAUUGCGUACCUCUAUUUCACCUUAUUAUCUCUAUGUACUACAAUUUAUCUCCCUCACAUUUACC